UCAAAACGUACUGUAGCUAUAAUGCUACAAUACGUAUUUACUACGCGGCUUGUCCGAGUUCAAAUCCGGCAGAAGGUUUACUAAUUCUCAUUUAUUUUUCUACUUUUUUUGUUUUCUUUCGUUUCUCUUUUUUACAAAUCUUACCAUGGAAAUAUUAUAUAUUACGUAUUAUAUAUAUUUAUAAACAUUAUAUACUGUAUUACAUAUUACAUAUGAUAUACCACAUAUUAUAUGUUAUUUUACACAAAUUUCAAACUUGAAAAUGCAUUUAUAACCUAACAUAUUAUCCUAAUCGCCUCAAGUGUACAUAUAUUAUUAAAUGAUAAAAAAAAAUAGAUAAAAUGCAAACUUCUGCUGGAUUCGAAUCCGAACUAGCAGCUUUCUAAGAAACUACCAUAACGUUAUACUAUUACUAUUGGGUUGUCCGGAAAGUUCGUUCCGAUUUACAUUUCGAUUCAAUAUACAUUCAUUGAAUUAUAUAGAUGGCAGUUUGUUCCACAACCUUUCUUGGCAACUUUCUUGCAACUCUUUGGAACUUUCUGGGCAAUCAAAUAGUUUACAAUAUGUAGUAUUCUAUCGAGAUUUGAAGCUAAGACAAAGACGAAUUAGGACUAAAUAUUAUCAAUAAUUAAAAAUUAUAAUCAAAUCUAAUCAAAGAAUAUAAUCAACUAUAUAUAAAUCAAUACUAAUAUAAAUAUAUCAAUAACUAAGGCUAAAUACUAUCAAAGACAUACAAACUAUAGUAAUACACACAUAUACUUAUUAUGUUAGUCUACAUAUAUAGUAAUUGCCAUAUACAGUUGUAUAAUAUGUAUUUAUGCGCAGAGCAUACAUAAUUCUAUUGAGUACAUUGCUUGUCGCCUGUGGUUUAGGUCAAUCAUCAAUAAAGGUUGGUAUUCUUCCUAUAAUUGUCGCAAUAACCAAUGUCUGAAGUCGAACAGAAUAGUUGUUCAGUUCGUGAAGUAUUCUUUUGUCUUGUAGUUUUCGAUUGUGAUGGUAAAUUAUAAGCAUAUUUUCUGAAUCUUGAAUCAGACCUUGCGCCUCUAAAUGUACGAAUUUUUCGAUCGAGGUGUAUCCAGUUUAUUUUGUAAUUUCGAAGUAUUAAGGUAUGAGGAGGUCAAUUCUUAUGAUAUUAGCUUUGUCGUGUAGAUCGCUUUUGUUAACAUAUUUUGUAUCAACCUUUGCUCGUGACUUCAUUUACCUCGAGACUUUAGGAUUCAUGGGGAGAGAUUUGCAGUUUUCCAUGUUCUAGGAAAGUAUUUCAGAUUUAAACAGUUGUUGAAUGAUACUGUGUAGUGGUUUGUUAAUGUUAACUACAGCUGGCACAUAGUGCCAUUUCAAAUGCGAUUUCCACAACUGUGACUCCCUCUUGUAAGUAUUUAAUCAAAUGAUUCUCCCAACGAAAUAGCCAACCUACAUACUUGUACACCAACAGGACGAGAGAACUCAUAGAUACUCAACAUACUGAUUCAAUUGUUUCACAUUUUUCGCAAGUGAAUGUGGCUGAUCUGUAACGUACAGAUACAUACAUACACCCACACACAUACGUGUACACAUAUACGCGUACAUACAUUCGAUGGAUACGAAAGUACAAUGGAGACGAAACUGCUAAUGUG